UAAACGAUGCCGACCAGG
rnacentral:siRNA from 1 species